rnacentral:rRNA from 1 species
GACGAACGCUGGCGGCGUGCCUAACACAUGCAAGUCGAGCGAGGUCCAACCGGUGGCAACACUGGUGAAGACCUAGCGGCGAACGGGUGAGUAACACGUGAGGAACCUGCCCCGAAGACCGGGAUAACCCGAGGAAACUCGAGCUAAUACCGGAUACCCCCAUUGGAUCGCAUGAUCCGAUGAGGAAAUGUCUUUUCGCCUCGGGAGGGCCUCGCGGCCUAUCAGCUAGUUGGUGAGGUAACGGCCCACCAAGGCAUCGACGGGUAGCUGGUCUGAGAGGACGAUCAGCCACACUGGGACUGAGACACGGCCCAGACUCCUACGGGAGGCAGCAGUGGGGAAUAUUGGACAAUGGGCGCAAGCCUGAUCCAGCCAUGCCGCGUGAGUGAU